GUGCGUGUAGCUCAGCUGGAUAGAGCGUCUGGCUACGGACCAGAAGGUCGGGGGUUCGAACCCUCUCACGCACG
rnacentral:tRNA from 2 species